rnacentral:rRNA from 1 species
GAUGAACGCUGGCGGCAUGCCUAAUACAUGCAAGUCGAACGAGAGGAAGGAAAGCUUGCUUUUCUGAAUCUAGUGGCGAACGGGUGAGUAACACGUAGGUAACCUGCCCAUGUGCCCGGGAUAACUUCUGGAAACGGAUGCUAAAACCGGCUAGGUAGCAGACAAGCAUUGGACUGCUAUUAAAGUGGCUAAGGCCAUGAACAUGGAUGGACCUGCGGUGCAUUAGCUAGUUGGUGAGGUAACGGCCCACCAAGGCGACGAUGCAUAGCCGGCCUGAGAGGGCGGACGGCCACAUUGGGACUGAGACACGGCCCAAACUCCUACGGGAGGCAGCAGUAGGGAAUUUUCGUCAAUGGGGGGAACCCUGAACGAGCAAUGCCGCGUGAGUGAGGAAGGUCUUCGGAUCGUAAAGCUCUGUUGUAAGAGAAAAACGACAUUCAUAGGGAAUGAUGAGUGAGUGAUGGUAUCUUACCAGAAAGUCACGGCUAACUACGUGCCAGCAGCCGCCGUAA